rnacentral:rRNA from 1 species
UACGGGAGGCAGCAGUGGGGAAUAUUGCACAAUGGGCGAAAGCCUGAUGCAGCUAUGCCGCGUGUAUGAAGAAGGCCUUAGGGUUGUAAAUACUUUCAUCGGGGAGGAAAAACAAAACUAAUAAUUUUAUUUCUUGACGUUACCCGAAAAAGAAGCACCGGCUAACUCCGUGCCAGCAGCCGCGGUAAUACGGAGGGUGCUAGCGUUAAUCAGAAUUACUGGGCGUAAAGAGCACGUAGGUGGUUUUUUUAAGUCAGAUGUGAAAUCCCUGGGCUUAACCUAGGAACUGCAUUUUGAAACUGAAAUACUAGAGUAUCGUAGAGGGAGGUAGAAUUCUAGGUGUAGCGGUGAAAUGCGUAGAUAUCUGGAGGAAUACCUGUGGCGAAAGCGGCCUCCUAAACGAAUACUGACACUGAGGUGCGAAAGCGUGGGGAGCAAACAGGGAUUAGAUACC